rnacentral:rRNA from 1 species
UAAUUGAAGAGUUUGAUCCUGGCUCAGAUUGAACGCUGGCGGCAUGGCUAAAACAUGCAAGUCGAACGCGAA